rnacentral:rRNA from 1 species
AUUGAACGCUGGCGGCAGGCCUAACACAUGCAAGUCGAGCGGAUGAAGGGAGCUUGCUCCUGGAUUCAGCGGCGGACGGGUGAGUAAUGCCUAGGAAUCUGCCUGGUAGUGGGGGAUAACGUCCGGAAACGGGCGCUAAUACCGCAUACGUCCUGAGGGAGAAAGUGGGGGAUCUUCGGACCUUACGCUAUCAGAUGAGCCUAGGUCGGAUUAGCUAGUUGGUGGGGUAAAGGCCUACAAAGGCGACGAUCCGUAACUGGUCUGAGAGGAUGAUCAGUCACACUGGAACUGAGACACGGUCCAGACUCCUACGGGAGGCAGCAGUGGGGAAUAUUGGACAGUGGGCGAAAGCCUGAUCCAGCCAUGCCGCGUGGGUGAAGAAGGUCUUCGGAUUGUAAAGCACUUUAAGUUGGGAAGAAAGGCAGUAAGUUAAUACCUUGCUGUUUUGACGUUACCAACAGAAUAAGCACCGGCUAACUUCGUG